AGUGAACGCUGGCGGUAAGCCUAACACAUGCAAGUCGAACGGCAGCACAGGAGAGCUUGCUCUCUGGGUGGCGAGUGGCGGACGGGUGAGGAAUACAUCGGAAUCUACUUUUUCGUGGGGGAUAACGUAGGGAAACUUACGCUAAUACCGCAUACGACCUACGGGUGAAAGCAGGGGACCUUCGGGCCUUGCGCGAUUGAAUGAGCCGAUGUCGGAUUAGCUAGUUGGCGGGGGAAAGGCCCACCAAGGCGACGAUCCGUAGCUGGUCUGAGAGGAUGAUCAGCCACACUGGAACUGAGACACGGUCCAGACUCCUACGGGAGGCAGCAGUGGGGAAUAUUGGACAAUGGGCGCAAGCCUGAUCCAGCCAUACCGCGUGGGUGAAGAAGGCCUUCGGGUUGUAAAGCCCUUUUGUUGGGAAAGAAAUCCAGCUGGCUAAUACCCGGUUGGGAUGACGGUACCCAAAGAAUAAGCACCGGCUAACUUCGUGCCAGCAGCCGCGGUAA
rnacentral:rRNA from 1 species